rnacentral:rRNA from 1 species
UUUAUGGAGAGUUUGAUCCUGGCUCAGGAUGAACGCUGGCGGCGUGCCUAAUACAUGCAAGUCGAGCGAACGGACGAGAAGCUUGCUUCUCUGAUGUUAGCGGCGGACGGGUGAGUAACACGUGGAUAACCUACCUAUAAGACUGGGAUAACUUCGGGAAACCGGAGCUAAUACCGGAUAAUAUUUUGAACCGCAUGGUUCAAAAGUGAAAGACGGUCUUGCUGUCACUUAUAGAUGGAUCCGCGCUGCAUUAGCUAGUUGGUAAGGUAACGGCUUACCAAGGCAACGAUGCAUAGCCGACCUGAGAGGGUGAUCGGCCACACUGGAACUGAGACACGGUCCAGACUCCUACGGGAGGCAGCAGUAGGGAAUCUUCCGCAAUGGGCGAAAGCCUGACGGAGCAACGCCGCGUGAGUGAUGAAGGUCUUCGGAUCGUAAAACUCUGUUAUUAGGGAAGAAC